GAUGAAGAACGUAGCGAAAUGCGAUAAGUAAUGUGAAUUGCAGAAUUCAGUGAAUCAUCGAAUCUUUGAACGCACAUUGCGCCCGCCAGUAUUCUGGCGGGCAUGUCUGUUCGAGCGUCAUUUCAACCAUCAAGCCCCCGGGCUUGUGUUGGGGACCUGCGGCUGCCGCAGGCCCUGAAAAGCAGUGGCGGGCUCGCUGUCACACCGAGCGUAGUAGAUUUUAUCUCGCUCUGGGCGUGCUGCGGGUUCCGGCCGUUAAACCACCCUUUUAACCCAAGGUUGACCUCGGAUCAGGUAGGAAGACCCGCUGAACUUAAGCAUAUCAAUAAGCGGAGGA
rnacentral:misc_RNA from 1 species